rnacentral:lncRNA from 1 species
UUGACGUAAAUGCUGUAUUAAGUUACUAACCUAGUUUGUGUGCAUGUUAUUAGGUGAAAAGAUUAAUCAGUAGUCGAAACUCUGCCCAUAUAAAUCUAAAAUAUUAGCACAAGGUAGCUUCACUUUAAAGUUAUUAAGGUACGGAUCCUUACCCCACUCUUUAUUGCUUCAUAUUCAAAUUGUUAUAAACCACUAAGUUACUAUAUCUUUUAAAAACUCCUCACGUCUUUGAUUAUCGAUUCAUUUGACAGUCCAUUCGAUUCCUAUCCUAAUCAUUUAAUUUAACUUUCAUGUCAUGCGAUAGUAUUAUGUUGUUAUACUCAUUAUCGCAUGUUCCAAUAUAUUUGUGAGGGUUUGAUCUCGUGAAUUGACGUAAAUGCUGUAUUAAGUUACUAACCUAGUUUGUGUGCAUGUUAUUAGGUGAAAAGAUUAAUCAGUAGUCGAAACUCUGCCCAUAUAAAUCUAAAAUAUUAGCACAAGGUAGCUUCACUUUAAAGUUAUUAAGGUACGGAUCCUUACCCCGCUCUUUAUUGCUUCAUAUUCAAAUUGUUAUAAACCACUAAGUUACUAUAUCUUUUAAAAACUCCUCACGUCUUUGAUUAUCGAUUCAUUUGACAGUCCAUUCUAUUCCUAUCCUAAUCAUUUAAUUUAACUUUCAUGUCAUGCGAUAGUAUUAUGUUGUUAUACUCAUUAUCGCAUGUUCCAAUAUAUGUUCCGUUUUGUUAUUAAAAUAAGUUUUAUAAGUUAUGUGAAUAAGACCAUUUGUACUCUGAUACCCUGAGUAUCGCUUCUCGUGGAGUGUCCCACGAGCAUGUUGUUGUGGCAUCAACAUCAUGUGCUCCAUCCGUGACGGAGAGAUCAGUUCACGGCGUCUCUUAAGUACAAGUGUGGUACAUAAGGCUAUUAGGAGGCGUAUGGAUCGAUCCUAGGAUUUAAGUAUAAGGAGGUGGAUAACGGGUAUGCCAAUUCGCCAUCUCAUGUGAUAACUAUACAGGAGUAGCUACCUGUGUAUUGUCGCGUUUUAAGUUUGCUCAUGGGUACAUCCGUAAGAUAUGAUUAUAUGUUCUUGCAUCGUAUCAUUUUCGCAUAAAGUUCCAUCCGGAUAAGAUUUCAUAUAAAGCAUUAUUUGUUAUUUGAGCCUAAAAUUCCGUAUUGAGCAUUCGGCUCAUUCCGUAAACUUUUUGUAUAUAUAGGUCCACAGGUUACUUUGGGAGGGGAAAAGAGAGAAGAAUAAAGUCUAGGAAUAAAUCUGAAGAUGUUAGUUAAUUAAGACAACUGUCUCCGCUUGUAUAAUAAUCUUAAUUUUUAUGGUCGUGUGGUUGUAUCCUUAUCAAAUAAAUAAAUGGAAUUAUGACUUUUGUUUAUGUUACCGUUAUUGUGACACGUCAGCCCUUCCGGGUUGGGGUGUUACAAUACGUCCAUACGUAUAUAUAAUAACAUAGAACAUAUGUAAAUGGUGCGAGAAAGAUUUAAAAAGAUGAAACAAGUCAACAACUGAUGUGUAUAUGCAUGUGUUAUAUGUGUAUGUGUGUGUAUAUAUAGGGAAGGGUGAAAAUGAGAACUAACUUGAGUUGUAAGAACUUGAGAACUUUAUAAUCCAAAGGAUAUUUGAAUUUUUUUUGACGAAAAUCUUUUUUUUUUUUUUUUUUUGAAUGUCCAAAAAAAAAAAAAAUCGUAUGUGACUUCUUACGUGG